rnacentral:lncRNA from 1 species
GAUUUCUCCGCAAAACAUACAAUAAUAUUGUUAUAUUUAGGGGUGUCAAGUGGAUGCAAAACGGCUUCAAUAGCAGGCGUUGUUUUGAAAGACUUCUCGAGUGCCUGAAAUCCAAGCAGAGCCCACUCUGACUGUACAAGUGGAGUCCGUCACCGCCAGCUUGGUUCCGACAAUUCCGUGCACAUCACGAACCACGAUAGCAAGUUUGAGGUACGCUAGUGGAGUCCAAACAUCACCACGUCUCCGCUUAUUCUAUCGUCUUUGAAUAACUGCACUGCGAAGUGCUUCAGUGUACCGGUAGUUUGCACUCUGAGUUUAGUUCUGCUUGGUAAAAAUCGUCCACGGAAGAGCAGAUGAUCCAUUGCUGUCUGUAUUUAUCAUGUUUAUUAAGGGAAGAACUAAUGGUUGUUGGAUAGUUUGAGGAAUUUGAGAAAUUAAUCCUUGCAGCAAGUUCACAGAAUGAUCGACUUUUUCUCAAGAGAAUUGAACAUUUCAUACAGGAAAUUAUGGCAGAGGAGAAAGAUGCAAAAGUCCGAGUAACGGUGAAAUCAAUUGGGUGGUGCUGAAAGAAGAACUGCUUCUGUUCAAAUCAUAUAUUUAACGUUCAACCCAUCACACAAAAAU